UACGUAGGGGGCAAGCGUUAUCCGGAUUUACUGGGUGUAAAGGGAGCGUAGACGGUUAUGCAAGUCAGAAGUGAAAGCCCAAAGCUCAACUUCGGGACUGCUUUUGAAACUGUGUAACUAGGGUGCAGGAGGGGUAAGCGGAAUUCCUAGUGUAGCGGUGAAAUGCGUAGAUAUUAGGAGGAACACCGGCGGCGAAGGCGGCUUACUGGACUGUAACUGACGUUGAGGCUCGAAAGCGUGGGGGGCAAACAGG
rnacentral:rRNA from 1 species